UUCCACUUGGGCUUGAAGCUGUCCUGCCAGA
rnacentral:piRNA from 1 species